CUGGACGAUCUAAACGUCAUCGUCAAGAACAACAAGAAGCAUGCAGACUUUCACCAUCAACUCAAGGAUCGAUGUAAUACAGCACUUCAACAGCUCCGAAUGGAUGCAGGCGCUGGAAGACUUCACCUUACUGCUAAAACAAGAACCUGGGAAUGCUGCAGCCAGGCAGGACAUACAAAGGAAGGAUCUAUUCCAAGGUGGUUAGUUUGAGAUGUCUAUCGAGGACUUUUCUCUGGCUGUGCACUUGGAUCUCCCAGUAGCUGGUGGCGUUUUACCACAGAGGGUGUCUGCUGAGGGAGAUAAUGCCUCAUAUGGCCUUAAGGGGUCUCAGGACAUCUGCUGUGAAGCUACAGCAUGGAGAUGCUCUUCACUAUUAACUGAGGGCUGAUGUUCGGAGUAUUCUGGGAUGGAUGGAGCAGACCCUGGAUGACUACAGGACCACGGUGGAGCUUCGGGUCUGGAGAUUCUGCUCAGGGUCAGAGAAUGAACAAAAUGAGAUUUUUGCUUCUUAGUUUAUAAAAAUUAGCUAAUACAACAAAGUUGUUGAAUAUUUUUAUUGUAAUUUUGUUGCAUGAAAUCAGUUUAAAUUUGUUAAAUGAAAGUUUGAAACUACAUUUCAUUUCAUUGUUUUUCCCCAUCAUCCAGCCUCUGUAUUAGACUAAAACAUAAUUCAUUUUUAGUAUUUUUAUUAUUGUACACCAGAAAAAUAUCAUUAGUAAACGUUAAAUAAUGUAGUAAUAUUUUAAUAUUUUUGUAUUCAAUUAAUGUUAAAUUAAUUUGUAGCUAAAUUGUAAUACAGUAAGACAACAUCAUAUUUUUCCUUUGUUGCGUUUCAAAUAUUCCUGAAGUUAAUUAAUAUUAUAUGACAUUUCAUUUUGAUUGAAUAAGCCAGGCUUAACUUAUUAAAAUGUGGUUUGUUGUUGGUAAGCUUUUUGUUUCUGAAAAAAAGUUUAUUUUGCUCAUCAAGGCUGCAUUAAUUUGAUACAAAGUACAGUAAAAACAGUAAUAUUGUGAAUAAAUUUCUAUUUGAAUAUUUGUAAGUGUAAUUUUUUCCUGUGAUGCUAAGCGGAAUUUUUUCAGUAUCACAUGAUCCUUCAGAAAUAAUUCAGAUAUGCUGAUUUGCAGCUUAAGAAAUAUCUAUUAUUAUUAUCAAUGUUGUU
rnacentral:lncRNA from 1 species